GACGAACGCUGGCGGCGUGCCUAAUACAUGCAAGUCGAACGGUCUUUUCUAUGGAAGCUUGCUUCCACUGAGAAGAUAGUGGCGAACGGGUGAGUAACACGUGGGUAACCUGCCCAUCAGAGGGGGAUAACAUCCGGAAACGGGUGCUAAUACCGCAUCGUUUUUCUGAUCGCAUGAUCGGGAAAGGAAAGACGGCCUUUGUGCUGUCGCUUAUGGAUGGACUCGCGGAGUAUUAGUUAGUUGGUGAGGUAACGGCUCACCAAGACGAUGAUACGUAGCCGACCUGAGAGGGUGAUCGGCCACAUUGGGACUGAGACACGGCCCAAACCCCUACGGGAGGCAGCAGUAGGGAAUCUUCCGCAAUGGACGAAAGUCUGACGGAGCAACGCCGCGUGAGUGAAGAAGGUUUUCGGAUCGUAAAACUCUGUUGUCAGAGAAGAACAAGUCGGAGAGUAACUGCUCCGGCCUUGACGGUAUCUGACCAGAAAGCCACGGCUAACUACGUGCCAGCAGCCGCCGUAAGAC
rnacentral:rRNA from 1 species